UACGUAGGUGGCAAGCGUUGUCCGGAUUUACUGGGCGUAAAGAGCGCGCAGGCGGCUGAUUAAGUCGAAUGUGAAAGCCCCCGGCUCAACUGGGGAGGGUCAUUCGAUACUGAUCAACUUGAAGGCAGGAGAGAGAAGUGGAAUUCCCGGUGUAGCGGUGAAAUGCGCAGAUAUCAGGAGGAACACCAAUGGCGAAGGCAGCUCGCUGGGACGGUACUGACGCUGAGGCGCGAAAGCGUGGGGAGCAAACAGG
rnacentral:rRNA from 1 species